GACGAACGCUGGCGGCGUGCCUAAUACAUGCAAGUAGAACGCUGAAGGUGGAGCUUGCUUCUCUGGAUGAGUUGCGAACGGGUGAGUAACGCGUAGGUAACCUGCCUGGUAGCGGGGGAUAACUAUUGGAAACGAUAGCUAAUACCGCAUAAUAGUAGAUGUUGCAUGACAUUUGCUUAAAAGGUGCAAUUGCAUCACUACCAGAUGGACCUGCGUUGUUUUAGCUAGUUGGUGGGGUAACGGCGCACCAAGGCGACGAUACAGAGCCGACCUGCGAGGGUGAGUAGCCACACUGAGACUGAGACACGCCCCAGACGCCUACGGGCGGCAGCCGUAGUGAAACGUCGGCAAGCGGCGGAGGACAGACCGAGCAGCGCGGCAGGAGUGAAGAGGGAUGUCGGAUCGUAGAUCACUGUUGUAGGGGAAGAACGAGCGUGCGGCUGGAAAGAACACACUGUGACGGUACCUGACCAGGAAGCGACGGCUAACUACGUG
rnacentral:rRNA from 1 species